GAUGAAGAACGUAGCGAAAUGCGAUAAGUAAUGUGAAUUGCAGAAUUCAGUGAAUCAUCGAAUCUUUGAACGCACAUUGCGCCCGCUAGUAUUCUGGCGGGCAUGCCUGUCCGAGCGUCAUUACAACCCUCAGGCCCCCGGGCCUGGCGUUGGGGAUCGGCGGAGCCCCCCGUGGGCACACGCCGUCCCCCAAAUGCAGUGGCGGUCCCGCCGCAGCUUCCAUCGCGUAGUAGCUAACACCUCGCGACUGGAGAGCGGCGCGGCCACGCCGUAAAACACCCAACUCUUCUGAAGUUGACCUCGAAUCAGGUAGGAAUACCCGCUGAACUUAAGCAUAUCAAUAAGCGGAGGA
rnacentral:misc_RNA from 1 species